GGCAUGGGACAUCUGGGUGACAUGGGGACAGCUGGGUGACAUAGGAGAGCUGGGUGACGUGGGACAGCUAAGUGACAGAGGGAGCACCUGGGUGACAUGGGGGACAGCUGGGUGACAUCUGGGUGACAUGGGGACAGCUGGGUGAUGGGAGCACCUGAGUGACAUCUGGGUGACACGGGACAGCUGGGUGACAAAAGGCCCCUGGGUGAUGGGAGCACCUGGGUGACAUCUGGGUGACAAAAGGCCCGUGGGUGACCCACUGGGGACAUGGACCCCGCUGUGGGGUGCCGCACGCAGUCACGGUGUCCCCACCCCACAUCGUCACCCACGUGCGGCCGUCACCGACGGUCCCCUGGGCUCGGGGGGGGGCGGCGCGUGGGGUGGGGGUCGGUGGGUGUCACCGGAGGGGGGGGGGGGACACCUCACUGUCCCAUGGGGUCACACGUGUGGGGCGUCCCUCACAUGUGGGGCUGGGAAUGACCGCGUCCCCCCCGUGCUGUCACCGUCCCCACACACAAUAAAAGCCGUCCCUUCACCGCCCCCGAGGAGACGGGCUCACGUUUGGAGCUUCAUGCCUUUAUUGGGGGUCCCCUCGCUGGGGGUCCCAACGUUGGGGGUCCCCACGUUGGGGGUCCCACUGCUGUCACUCUGCAGCCACGGCCGCCUCCCGCUCCCGGAUCCGCCUCUGACGCUGCAGCAGCCGCCGCUCGCGCUCAAACUCCUUCAUGCGCAUCACAUAAUCGUCGUGCUGGCAGCGGUCCCAGCGGUGCCGCAGGUGGUGGCAGUGCCAUAGGCUGGGGAAGGCGUCGCGGCGGCAGCGCAUGAGGCGCAGGAGGUGGUGGGCGCAGAAGUCGCGCUGAGCCAACGGGACGCGGCCCUCCGACAGCUGCUGCGCCGUCGCCACCAUGGUGCGCGGCUCCCUGCCGGGCAGCCCCAGAUCGGCGGGGAAUGUGGGCAUCGCCAACGGGUCCGGCUCCGUGUCCGCCCCCCCGGCAUAGCGCCGCGCCAGGUGAGCUCCCAUAGCAGCGGCGGUCACCGGGGCACCGCGCCGGAACCGGAAGUGAUGUGAGCUGCGGGAACCGGAAGUGAGCGGGGCUCUGCUGCGUAGGGACAGGAAGUGCGCGUAUCAUAGAGUGGGAGCGCGCAGAGCGGCGCUCUGCUCGUAGUGCGCCCCUCUCCGCGAGGUCCUCCAGAGCGG
rnacentral:lncRNA from 1 species